CAGCCGAACAGGAGCUCGCACAAGCAGCAACCGCGUCCACCGGAAUCGGGAUGGAGAGCUGGGUCCGCGCGGUGGUGGAGGCCAUCCACUCCUCCCGCUCCCAGGCCGUCAUCUACCUCGCCGGCGGCGCAUCUCAGGCGCUCGGCUGGCUCCUGUCUGUGCCCGGCGCGUCGAGCACCGUCCUCGAGGUCGUCGUGCCCUACACCAGGGCCUCCAUGGCGCAGCUCCUUGGCAAGAUGCCCUUGCAAUUCACCAGCAAGCAGGCUGCAGAGGACAUGGCUCUGGCCGCGUACAACCGAGCACUGAAGCUUUCUGGGCCAGGUCUGCAAGUUAUGGGUGUUGGAUUUACUGGGUCACUGGCAAGCUCACGUCCAAAACACGGUGACCAUAGGUUUUAUGUGUCAACGUGGACAGACAAUUGCCUCAAGACAUCACAUGUUACCUUGUCGAAGGGUUUACGGAGCAGAGAGGAAGAAGACAAGGUUUCAAGCUAUUUUUUGCUUAAGGCGAUAGCAAAUACCUGCAGAAUAUCUGCAACCAUCCAGCCAGACAUUCAAGAACCUGAAAUUCCAGAAGAAAGCAUGGAACCAUUUGAUGAAGAUCAAGAGCUCCAGCAAGUUAUAAAUGGGCAAGUUUGCAUGAAAGUCUAUCAUUUUGCUGCUCCACUGGAAAAGAACUUCAGCAGGAAAGUAAUUUUACCUGGUUCAUUCAACCCCUUGCAUGAUGGCCACCUUAGGCUGUUGGAAGUUGCAUCAAGCAUGUGCGAUGAUGGGCUUCCAUUCUUUGAGAUAUCAGCAAUUAAUGCCGAUAAACCGCCACUAGCUAUUGCAGAAAUUAAGAAGCGCAUUGAGCAGUUUAGAAAAGCAGGGAAGAAUGUGAUAAUAUCUAACCAACCGUACUUCUAUAAGAAAGCGGAACUUUUCCCAGGAAGUGCUUUUAUAAUUGGUGCAGACACUGCAGCUAGGCUUGUUAACCCAAAGUAUUAUGGAGGAGAUUACAAUAGAAUGCUGGGGAUACUUCUCGAAUGUAAAAGCACAGGUACCACUUUUCUUGUUGGUGGCCGAAAGAUUGAAGGAGUUUUCAAGGUCCUUGAGGAUUUAGACAUUCCAAAAGAGCUGAGAGACAUGUUCAUCUCCAUACCAGAGGAAAAGUUUCGCAUGGAUAUUUCAUCUACUGAAAUAAGGAAGAGCCAAGGGCUCUGAUUUACCAAAUAUGGUCACACAGCAGGUUCAAGAUGAUUCUCCACAACUAGAGAAGGUUGGAACUUUGCAGUACCCUUCUAUAUCUUGGCACUGGAACAAUUGUCACAUGAUUUUUCAUAUAAAGGUAGCAAAGCAAAUGGUUGUUAUGUACCAAGAGGAAUUUCUUCAGAUCCUUUCCGCACGCGAUGUCAUAAAGAGCAGCCACAGUGUAUGCCAGUUUGUAAUGGAUGGUCUCUGCUAUUUUUCGGAAGGCAUGCUCGGAGAUGAUGACUUCCGGGAUUCCUGGAGGGGCUCUGCAAUGCAAAAUUGGUUUGUUGAGUUUCUGCUUCCUGCUCCUUGUGUCAUAGUUGAAUUCUCUAUAAGCUGCGAUGUUCUCUGUAGAAAGAGGAAUAAAUACAUGUUCACGAGCGGUGCAGCAUUUGACCAAAUGAAGAUCACCAGCAUGGCAAGGAUGGCUAUCUGGCAAAGGAGCGGGAUUAUGUUGUAUUCAACCACUUCAAACAGGUACCAUAUCAGCGUGGCCCCGACAAGGACACCUGCAGAUAAGUUCCUGUCCUUCCAGAGCAGAAUGUCCGCGACUGCAAGGGGAAACAACUCAAUCCAUGACCACAUCGAGUAAGAGAGAGGCUAUGCUAAUUCAAAUGAUGCAAGUCAAUUGUCCAGAAAGAAAAGAAGAGCAGCAUACCUUUCCCUCCACCAAGAAGCCUAUGAAUCGACUUGUGCCUAUGAAACGGCCCAUCGCCGUGAUCGUUAGGAAAAUGAGGAUGCAUGGCUCUCUGAGUUUGGAACGAUUAAUCUCUCGUCUUGGUUUGUCUGAUCGGUCCGUUGCUGAAAGGGCGUCUUUAUAAGCCCCUGAAAAUGCUAGAAUAAUUAUCUCAGGGGCGGUAGAUUGAAGAAAAGGAUAGCUUGAUCCGUAGGGAUUGAACCAUCCAGAGGAAUAAACGAAUAAGCGGCAAGUUUGCUUCAA